GUCAUACUCCCUCCGUCCCAAAAUUCUUGUCUUAUAUUUGUCUAGAUAUGAAUGUAUCUAGUCACGUUUUAGUAUUUAGAUACAUUCAUUUUUAGAUAAACUUAAGACAAGAAUUUUGGAAUGGAGGGAGUAUUUA
rnacentral:pre_miRNA from 1 species